CCCUUAGAUGUUCUGGGCUGCACGCGCGCUACACUGAUGCGCUCAACGAGUUUUAACCUUGCCUGGAAAGGUUGGGUAAUCUUUUUAAAACGCAUCGUGAUGGGGAUAGAUUAUUGCAAUUAUUAAUCUUCAACGAGGAAUUCCUAGUAAGCGCGAGUCAUCAGCUCGUGCUGAUUACGUCCCUGCCCUUUGUACACACCGCCCGUCGCACCUACCGAUUGAAUGGUCCGGUGAAGCCUCGGGAUUGUGGCCAGUUCACUUUAUUGGGAGUUGGCUGCGAGAACUUGUCUAAACCUUAUCAUUUAGAGGAAGGUGAAGUCGUAACA
rnacentral:rRNA from 1 species